GACGAACGCUGGCGGCGUGCUUAACACAUGCAAGUCGAACGGAAAGGCCCUGCUUUUGUGGGGUGCUCGAGUGGCGAACGGGUGAGUAACACGUGAGUAACCUGCCCUUGACUUUGGGAUAACUUCAGGAAACUGGGGCUAAUACCGGAUAGGAGCUCCUGCUGCAUGGUGGGGGUUGGAAAGUUUCGGCGGUUGGGGAUGGACUCGCGGCUUAUCAGCUUGUUGGUGGGGUAGUGGCUUACCAAGGCUUUGACGGGUAGCCGGCCUGAGAGGGUGACCGGCCACAUUGGGACUGAGAUACGGCCCAGACUCCUAAGGGAGGCAGCAGUGGGGAAUAUUGCACAAUGGGCGGAAGCCUGAUGCAGCAACGCCGCGUGCGGGAUGACGGCCUUCGGGUUGUAAACCGCUUUCGCCUGUGACGAAGCGUGAGUGACGGUAAUGGGUAAAGAAGCACCGGCCAACUACGUG
rnacentral:rRNA from 1 species